UUUUUUUUUUUUUUAUUGCAAGUGAGAAGAUAAAAGACAAAAGACAAAACAAAAAAACAAACCAAGAAAAAACAACAAAAACAUGUGACAUAAUUUUAUAAAGUUCCUGGGUGAAAACACAUGUUUCAGACCGAUAGCACCCGGCCUUCUUGAGUUGCUAGGUCAAUAGUGCCAGUGUGAAUGACUUCCUAGAGCCUCUGAUGCACAUAAUCUCUGAUCUUAUGAGAGAGAAAUUUAGCCUACAUCUCAUCCAAUUCAGAGUUGUGCUGUAUGUUUUGUCCUGUUUCUCUGCCAGCAUUGAAGCUAGUUUCUUGUAGACAAUAUCUGCAGCCGGACCCAUACCUCCAGCAGCAGAGAAAACCAAAGGCGUGAACGAUCCAUGUUCGACUUCUCUUACACGCUGUUCAUAUGCUCUCUUCUUCUCCAUCUCGUUUCUUCUGUAGCUCUGGGCCAUGGUGGAGCGGCGAUAGGUAGGUGCGUACGGGUUGAAGACCCUGACAUCAAAAAAUGCACUCUGUCUAUCGUUGCUCCAGAAGCUCUGGGCCACAACAUCAGAGCUAUUUUUAGAACUGCCCACAAAAACGCCCACGGCGUAACCUUUGACCGCACAAGGUAAAUCCUAGCUAGCUCGAUUGCAGCAUAGUAAAACUAGUUCUCAGCAGCAGUAUGGCUUGUACUAGCAGUGUCAAAGGCAAAGGCAAACCAUCCAACAGUUGCAACUCCAAGAAGAUGAAACCUAGGUACAAUAAUCUGUCUUCCUGAGUCUCUGGUACUUCUUAACAAUGCGCCCAGCACUCAACUUCAUGCUCGAAGGGGUUGUCUUGGACCUGGCUGGACUAGGACUGGUCAUGACACUUCUCUAAAAUAAUACUGCACUGUUAGCUAGCUAGCUAGGUAGGCAGCUCUGAUGUACACGCCCAUAAUUAUAACUCCGUAAACAACACCGCCCAUUUGUUCACGUCCGUAUACUGGAUUCUAUUUUUAGCAUAUCCGGUCUCUGAUACGAAGUCGGAUGAGUACGUAGGAUACAUAGUGAGUUGCAUGCCCUCUUCUCUGUAUACGCCCUUGGUUUGGACCUGUGACAUUGCUUUCUUGACCUCUGCCAUCUGAUCGGGUUGUUAUAAAACAGGGAAUGAGAAAUGAGGAAAUGAGAAAUGAGGAAAUGAGGAAAUGAGGAAAUAAGAAAUAGGAAAUGAGGAAAUGAGAACGAGAAAUGAGCUGUUAGGCAGACUGAGAGCAUAUCUAUCGGCAGAGCAAGUCUGAAGACGAAGCUAACAUCUACUGAGCUACAGGUACGUACCUCCUGGUGCUGACAAGUUUCCUGGUGCUCUGCCACCAUACAGAACUUAUGUUCCUCUGGUACACGGUGUGACACUCUCUACCUCUAUCUACUUGUGUGCCAUGUACGACUGGCAUGGUUCAGAGAUCAGAUCUACCUACGUAACGGUACUUACAUGUACUGUCCUACAGUCCCACAGUCUCAAACAAUUUACCUGUGCGUGGCUAUACUGGCAAUACAUUCACUGAUUUCACAAUCCGGUGGGCAAGUGAUAGUCAAUGGACUGGACUCAAUGUCAACAUCUACAUGUAAGUAACAGCAAAGAAACCUCCAAAACUGUUUGUCAAACCAAGCAAAUUCUAAUGAUCUGCCAGUCCGAUACAGUCAAAUUCUGCAGGAAACUUGAAUGUAAGUGGGGAGACUUUGUGUGGAUGGGACUCAGGCCUGUCGUAAAGCUGCAGGAAGUAAUGACAUUAGUACACUGUACUGGUAUCAUAUCCAAUCUCGCUACAGCGUGAAGAAAGCAAUUCCCAUUACCAUUCUCACAAGCAAUGCCUAGUGAAAGCUGAUGCUACCUUUAAUGAAGAAAGCUCACUGUGCCAUCUGAAGCGAUGGUAAAAUUUAAUUCUUACAAUGUGUCCGACAACCUGUACUGUGUGGAGGUGCCACUAUAAUUAUAUAUUUGAUAACUAAAUACUUAGUCACCUACUAGCUUCUUGGCUGAUAUCAGUCAUUACUUUUGUGUAUAAUAAUUAUUAUUAUAACAAUGUCAUAAAAUUAUUGUGAUGAAAAUUAAUGCCAUGGUGAUGAUUGUAAACAUAUAUAUAUUAUUUCUUCAUUUCCUCAUUUCCUAUUUCUUAUUUCCUCAUUUCCUCAUUUCUUAUUUCUCAUUUCCUCAUUUCUCAUUCCCUGUUUUAUAACAACCCCAUCUGAUCAUAAUCCCUGUAUGUAGCGCCUAUAUGCAAUCAUGCAUGCAGUAUGUACAUGUAUAUUAAUUAAUUCAUGGGUGCCAAUUUAAAUAAUGAUGAUUUUCUACCUAGAUAAAAAUCAGAGGGAGCGAUUAAGGUUACGGUCAACCGUUUGCUCAUUAAUUAUUCAUGAGCUAGAUCUAGUGAUCUUUUCCAGCUAGAAUGAGCUGGAAGUCCAGCUGAAACGCAGUAGUCAUUUUAUGGCUCGAAUAGACAUUUUUACUAUAAAGCUUAGGUACAGUCUACUGUAGCUUCACUAUAUGCAGGGCAUGUAGAAGAGAUAUUUGGAAAAAAGGCUACUGAAAGCUCACAAGAGGCUGUUUUCCUUGGCUCUGGCCGCCAUUUUAAGUGGAGUUAGUCUACAUAUUAUUAUUAUUUUGUGAGAGUUUGUUGGCCUGGAAAGAAAAAAACGCUUCUACACGCCCUCCAGAAUGGUAAGAAGCAUCAUAUAAGACCAAGAACACAGAGCUAGAAGUGUUUUUGGAAGUUUAAGUCAUGAAAAUUUGCAGGCUGAACAGUAAAGUGAUGACAAAGCUCUCCCAAAAUCAGCUCCAAACUGCCCACUCUUAAUGCCGAGAGUGAGCUUAUGGUUGAGUGAGUCUGAUGCAGCACCAGCGUAAUAAUUUAUAGUUGAAAGUUGCAUAAUUAUAUAUAGAUCUAUGCAUCACAGGACGGACGAAGCGAGGGACAAGGCUCCAAGUCCAAACUGUCCACUCUUUAAUGAGAGAUGGACGAAGCGAGGGACAAGGCUCCCCUUCUCAUCUUAAUGGUAGUGAGCUUAUGGUGCCGGAUGGACAAAGCUCUCCCAAACCAAAUGACUGUGCACUGUUUGCAGCUGCAUAUUGUACCAGCAUUGCACAUGGACUAGAUCCAUGUUCCCUCGUUUACGACCAGCAGCAAAUGAGGGACCACUUGUACACGUGUUUCACUACAAAAACAAUGGUACUGUCUUCCGAACAAAAAGACCAGGACCUGCACGCACUUUGAAAAUCCCUGUCUAUUGCUACUGUCGAUGUGCAGAUGAUGGCCAAGGGAUGGUAGGCUGUGACGGAUGUGAAGAUUGGUAGAUGCAUCAACGCCGCCAAAGUAAAAAAGGGAUUAUGAUAUUGCACCAAGUGUCGAUAAAGUAGUUAGAAUCAAUGACUUUAUAGUCAACAAGUAUAAUUAUUUUAUGUUCAUCAAUUCAUAUACUUUAAUGUGCUCAUACUAGAUGUCUAUAGCCUAGCCUGCCUAUGGCUAUGGAUCUAGUAUUAUGAUCUAGCUUUGUAGAUCAGGGCAAGUCGGGCGCCGCCGCCCUCUACCGUUGCCCGGAAGGAGGGCGGCGAUCGACUAGAUCAGGGCGUGGCCCACAACCUUCUGAAAGGCCACGCCCAGGACUAGCCAAAAGUCUUGUAGG